UACAGAGGGUGCAAGCGUUAAUCGGAAUUACUGGGCGUAAAGCGUGCGUAGACGGUAGCGUAAGUCGGGUGUGAAAGCCCCGGGCUCAACCUGGGAAUUGCAUUCGAGACUGCUCUUCUAGGGUGCGGAAGAGGGAAGCGGAAUUUCCGGUGUAGCGGUGAAAUGCGUAGAUAUCAAGAGGAACACCAGUGGCGAAGGCGAGUCCCUGGACGAUACCUGACACUGAGGCACGAAAGCCAAGGGAGCAAACAGG
rnacentral:rRNA from 1 species